UAGUAAUCGCGAAUCAGAAUGUCGCGGUGAAUACGUUCCCGGGCCUUGUACACACCGCCCGUCACACCAUGAGAGUCGAUAACACCCGAAGCCUGUGAGCUAACCUUUUAGGAGGCAGCAGUCGAAGGUGGGGUUNAUGAUUGGGGUGAAGUCGUAACAAGGUAGC
rnacentral:rRNA from 1 species